CUGGUUGAUCCUGCCGGAGGUUACUGCUAUCGAGGUUCGACUAAGCCAUGCGAGUCGAAUGUAGCAAUACAUGGCGUACUGCUCAGUAACACGUGGACAACCUACCCUUGAGUUGGGGAUAAACCCGGGAAACUGGGUAUAAUACCCGAUAGUCCUCGGCUGCUGGAAUGCAUCGAGAACGAAAGCUCCGACGCUCAAGGAUGGGUCUGCGGCCUAUCAGGUAGUAGUGGGUGUAGCGUACCUACUAGCCUACGACGGGUACGGGUUGUGAGAGCAAGAGCCCGGAGAUGGAUUCUGAGACACGAAUCCAGGCCCUACGGGGUGCAGCAGGCGCGAAAACUUUACAAUGCUGGAAACAGCGAUAAGGGGACCUCGAGUGCCAGGCUACAAAUCUGGCUGUCGUGAUGCCUAAAAAGCAUUGCAUAGCAAGGGCCGGGCAAGACCGGUGCCAGCCGCCGCGGUAACACCGGCGGCUCGAGUGGUAACCGUUAUUAUUGGGUCUAAAGGGUCUGUAGCCGGCCGGAUAAGUCUCUUGGGAAAUCUGGCAGCUUAACUGUCAGGCUUUCAGGAGAUACUGUCUGGCUCGAGGCCGGGAGAGGUGAGAGGUACUUCAGGGGUAGGGGUGAAAUCUUGUAAUCCUUGAAGGACCACCAGUGGCGAAGGCGUCUCACCAGAACGGACCUGACGGCAAGGGACGAAAGCUAGGGGCACGAACCGGAUUAGAUACCCGGGUAGUCCUAGCCGUAAACGAUACUCGCUAGGUGUCGGCCACGGUGCGACCGUUGUCGGUGCCGUAGGGAAGCCGUGAAGCGAGCCACCUGGGAAGUACGGCCGCAAGGCUGAAACUUAAAGGAAUUGGCGGGGGAGCACCACAACGGGUGGAGCUUGCGGUUUAAUUGGAUUCAACGCCGGG
rnacentral:rRNA from 1 species